rnacentral:tRNA from 1 species
GGUAGCGUAGCCGAGCGGUCUAAGGCGCUGGUUUUAGGCACCAGUCAUUUCGAUGGCGUGGGUUCGAAUCCCACCGCUGCCA